UACGUAGGGGGCGAGCGUUGUCCGGAUUUAUUGGGCGUAAAGAGCUCGUAGGCGGUUCGGUAAGUCGGGUGUGAAAUCUCCACGCUCAACGUGGAGGGGCCACUCGAUACUGCCGUGACUCGAGUCCGGUAGAGGAGUGUGGAAUUCCCGGUGUAGCGGUGAAAUGCGCAGAUAUCGGGAGGAACACCAGUAGCGAAGGCGGCACUCUGGGCCGGUACUGACGCUGAUGCGCGAAAGCUAGGGGAGCGAACGGAUUAGAACCGUAGUACUCAGCACAACG
rnacentral:rRNA from 1 species